AGCGAACGCUGGCGGCAGGCCUAACACAUGCAAGUCGAACGAACUCUUCGGAGUUAGUGGCGGACGGGUGAGUAACACGUGGGAACGUGCCUUUUGGUUCGGAAUAACUCAGGGAAACUUGUGCUAAUACCGAAUGUGCCCUUCGGGGGAAAGAUUUAUCGCCAUUAGAGCGGCCCGCGUCUGAUUAGCUAGUUGGUGAGGUAACGGCUCACCAAGGCGACGAUCAGUAGCUGGUCUGAGAGGAUGACCAGCCACACUGGGACUGAGACACGGCCCAGCCUCCCCCGGGGGGCAGCAUGGGGGAUUUUUCCCCAAUGGGCGAAACCCUGACGCCCCCAUGCCGGUUGAAUGAUGAAGGUUUUAGGUUUUUAAAAUUUUUUCCCCGGGGACGACAAUGACGGUCCCCGGAAAAGAAGCCCCGGUUAACUUCGU
rnacentral:rRNA from 1 species